GCCUGGUUGGCUUAGUUGGAAGAGCAUGUGACUCUUGAUCUCAGGAUCAUGAGUUCGAGCCCCACAUUAGGCU
rnacentral:tRNA from 1 species